rnacentral:rRNA from 1 species
UACGGAGGGUGCGAGCGUUAUCCGGAUUCACUGGGUUUAAAGGGUGCGUAGGUGGGAAUGUAAGUCAGUGGUGAAAUCUCUGAGCUUAACUCAGAAACUGCCAUUGAUACUAUGUUUCUUGAAUUUUUCUGGAGGUCAGCGGAAUAUGUCAUGUAGCGGUGAAAUGCUUAGAUAUGACAUAGAACACCAAUUGCGAAAGGCAGCUGGCUACAGGGAUAUUGACACUGAGGCACGAAAAGCGUGGGGGAUCAAACAGG